rnacentral:tRNA from 1 species
CAGGUUUUUGGUUAGAUUUUAUUUACAAUAAUUAUCUUAGCUGUUCAAUUCAGCUGGACUUGA